UUCUGCGUGCAACUUCCGCCUGAUCGACGUUCGUUAUAUAUUCGCGGUUUACGUCGAUACGUCGUCGACCUCUCAUAGUCAGUGUUUUUGCGUCUUCCUGCAUCCAGAACGCGGUUACGGGGUCAGAUUUUGAAAACUUAGUUAAAAAUUUUGGUGGUGGCGCUACGAUUGGUGCUUUCGUUCGACUAUCGAUUUUCCCACGAAUAACAACGCUUCCCGCGCGAACCAAUUGACCAAUUAAACGGUUCGAUUGAUUGUUCCACAGAAUCCGGGAAUAUCGAUUGAUCGAGUGACGAGUCGGUCGCGAUAUACCGAUAUCGAAAUAAGAAAAUACAUAGUGGACGAUCAUGGUGUGACUCGAGUGACUAAAUUGAUCUUUCGGAAAGAUCUUUGAGGUUGACCGGUGGUUGUGUGGUGAUUGGUUUUGGUGGUGGUGCUUGAUACGCUCCUGGGAGUCGGAAGCCCGUUGGCACCUGGGCCUCGUUUACAUCGGUUUACUCAUGCUGGGAGUUUUGAAGCGGCGCUGGAAGCCAUCAAAAAGG